rnacentral:tRNA from 1 species
AUUGGCUCAGUGGCAGAGCGUCUGUCUAGUAAACAGAAGGUCGCUGGUUCGAUUCCAGCAU